GACGAACGCUGGCGGCGUGCUUAACACAUGCAAGUCGAACGGAAAGGCCUUUUCGGUGGUCCUCGAGCGGUGAACGGGUGAGUAACACGUGGGCGAUCUGCCCCGCCCUCUGGGAUAAGGCUGGGUUACUGGGUCUGAUACCGGAUAGGACCGCACUUUUGUGCGUGUUGUGGCAAGUUGUUUCGGUGUAGGAUGGGUCCGCGGCCUAUCAGCUUGCUGGUGGGGUAAUGGCCUACCAAGGCGGCGACGGGUAGCCGGACUGAGAGGUUGGUCGGCCACAUUGGGACUGAGAGACGGCCCAGACUCCUACGGGAGGCAGCAGUGGGGAAUAUUGCACAAGGGGCGCAAGCCGGAUGCAGCGACGCCGCGUGGGGGAUGACGGCCUUCGGGUUGUAAACGCCUUUCGCCAGGGACGAAGCGUUUUGUGACGGUACCUGGAGAAGAAGCACCGGCUAACUACGUG
rnacentral:rRNA from 1 species